rnacentral:lncRNA from 1 species
UGCUUGCUUGGAAGAAAAAUAGUGAAAAACAAAAAAAAAUUGAGUUGUGAAAUAAGAGUUGUGAAGGUUUCAAAUGAGAAAUAAAUGGAACGAGGUUGAGAUGUGUGAAUAAUGUACAGUGAAUGUCUCUUUUGCAUCGGCAAUUUCGUUUUCAAUGGCCUUAGAAAUGACCCUUGUUUGUUAACCUAACCAAGCUUCAAUCGAAAAGCCCUUAGUGAUCUUCGUGCUUCCACAUUACCAUUUAUAAUUGUUAGACAUUGUAUGAAUUGAAUUGAUUUCUUCAUUGUUUGUUAGAGAGUGAG